rnacentral:rRNA from 1 species
UACGGAGGGGGCUAGCGUUGUUCGGAAUUACUAGGCGUAAAGCGUGCGCAGGCGGUUCGUUGUGUCGGCGGUGAAAUCCCCGGGCUCAACCUGGGAAUGGCCGUUGAAACUGGCGAACUGGAGUGUGGCAGAGGGGGGUGGAAUUCCGCGUGUAGCAGUGAAAUGCGUAGAGAUGCGGAGGAACACCGAUGGCGAAGGCAGCCCCCUGGGCUGACACUGACGCUCAGGCACGAAAGCGUGGGGAGCAAGCAGG